rnacentral:rRNA from 1 species
GAUGAACGCUGGCGGCGUGCCUAAUACAUGCAAGUCGAGCGAACAGAUGAGGAGCUUGCUCCUCUGACGUUAGCGGCGGACGGGUGAGUAACACGUGGAUAACCUACCUAUAAGACUGGGAUAACUUCGGGAAACCGGAGCUAAUACCGGAUAAUAUAUUGAACCGCAUGGUUCAAUAGUGAAAGACGGUUUUGCUGUCACUUAUAGAUGGAUCCGCGCCGCAUUAGCUAGUUGGUAAGGUAACGGCUUACCAAGGCAACGAUGCGUAGCCGACCUGAGAGGGGGGUAGGCCACCGGAGAACUGAGCCCGGGACAAGACUCCUGGGGGGGGCGGCAGAGGGGAAUGUGGGGCAAUGGGCGAAAGCCUGACAGAACAAGGCGGAGAGAGAGACAAGGGUGUCGGAAUCGGAAAACUGUGUUAUGAGGGAAAAACAAAUGUGAAAGAAAACAUGCGCGUUGUGACGGUACCUAAGAAAAAAGCACCGGUUAACUACGUG